ACUCAACAACACACACACACCGAGACAGACCCAGUGCAGUUCUUCCUUGAUCAUUUAUCAACAUUCUACACCAACACAGUCAGCAGUGAUAAUUUUCUGGACCUCACGGGAUCCUCCGAAAUUCACGUGAGUGUAUCAGCUGAUUCUGCCUGUCAGACCUCGCCGGAUCUGUUCUCUUGUUCUUUUCUUUUUCUCACAGAAGUCCCCACUCAGAGCGUCAUUCAAACCAACACAGUCAGCAAUGGUUAUUUUCAGGACCUCAGCGGAUCCACCAAAAUUCAUGUAACUGUAUCAGCUGAUUCUGAGUUCAGACCUCGCCGGAUCUAUUUUCCGCAACAGUACCCUACUCAGUGUUCAUGCACACCAGUGUGGAGCAAAGCACCCUGAGCAUCUAAGAUCGACACAGCUCAGAAAACAUGUUGCCACACUCUCACAAGUCCUUAAUUUGAAAAACAAUGAACUUGAUCAGGUUGCAGAUUUCCUGGGUCAUGAUAUUCGCGUUCACCGCGAAUUCUACAGAUUACCAGUUCCCACAACACAGCUGGCCAAGAUUUCCAAACUGCUUUUAAAAAUGAAAAAAGGACAUCUUUCCCAGAUCCAGGGGAAAUCACUGGAUGAGAUCGAAAUUGAAGAUGAAAUUGCAUUAAGUGAUGCUGAAACAAAGGACAGUGAGAGUGAAUCAGAUGAUGAUGACACAGCACUCACAAUGUCAGCGUGUGGCACCAGUGAGCCUGUACAUGCAGUAGCUGAUUCCACAAACACAGCGCAGCUACAAGACACUGUAGAUUGUGCAGAUGAAAAACCACUCAUAAUGCCUGCAGCAAGUGAGACUGCUGCUCCCUCUGAAGAUAAAAAUGCUGCUCAAUCCCACAAUUCAAGAAGAGCUCCCAAAAACAUGUGGUCCAAGGCUGAGGUGGCUGCAGUGAUGAGGCAUUUUAAAGACCACAUAAACGAAGGGAAACUGGCCACCAAAAAUGAAUGCAGUCAUUGCAAAUUGGUAGAAGAUCCGGUGUUGGCAGGAAGAACAGUUCAAAACAUAAGAGAUUUUGUAAGAAACAGAGGAUUAACUGCAAAAAGGCAGAAAAAAAUGAACUAAAAUAACUGUUUAGCCAGAUGUGGUUUUACAUCUUGGUCAGAUUGCUGAACUGUUGUUAAAACUGACUUAUUGUGCAGCAGGCUGCCUCACUGAUGUUCUGUUUAAAGAAAAAAAAGUUCUUGUUAAUUACAGAAGUAGUUUGUAUUUCAUAACUUUUAAAUUUAAUUGAUUUAGUUUUUUUUGACAGGUUCUUUAAUAUAUAUUUUUUGACAGGUUAUAUUGAAAAUAAAAAAAAUAUAAAUGCAUAUU